UGGUAUCAUCGCAGAGUGUGGGCUCCCACUUACCGAAUCCUCCCAGAUCCGUGGGGAGGUUGCUUGUGGGACUGGGUCAUCCACCGGAAUGUGUGGGAAAUCAAGCCUCCUGAAGGUCCUUAU